rnacentral:rRNA from 1 species
ACGCUCGACACCUACAGGAGGCAGCAGUGGGGAAUAUUGCACAAUGGGGGAAACCCUGAUGCAGCGACGCCGCGUGAGCGAAGAAGUAUUUCGGUAUGUAAAGCUCUAUCAGCAGGGAAGAAGAAAGACGGUACCUGACUAAGAAGCCCCGGCUAACUACGUGCCAGAGCCGCGGUAAUCUGAGCGGGCGUGGCGAAGGCG